UGAGGGAAAGCUGCAAAGCACUCUGAAGAGAGAGUUCAAAAGGACGUGAAGCCGUCUGCAGGGAAACGGGUGAGACCGCACGGUAGACCCGCGGCGGAUUCAGCUCCGGGGGCAACCUCGGGGUGCACUUCCGCGCCUGCGGGUCGCGCAGGGCCCGACUUGACGGCCGUCUGAAGCCCGGCGAGGAGGUGACGGGGUUCUUCGGAUCUCCGAGUUUAACUCGCUGGCGCGGAGACCGGCUGUUGGGUCGAGGAACGUCCAUCCGUCUUUGACGCGUGGG
rnacentral:rRNA from 1 species